rnacentral:rRNA from 1 species
GAUGAACGCUAGCUACAGGCUUAACACAUGCAAGUCGAGGGGCAUCAGGAAGAAAGCUUGCUUUCUUUGCUGGCGACCGGCGCACGGGUGAGUAACACGUAUCCAACCUACCCUUUACUCGGGGAUAGCCCUUCGAAAGAAAGAUUAAUACCCGAUGGCAUAAUGAUUCCGCAUGGUUUCAUUAUUAAAGGAUUCCGGUAAAGGAUGGGGAUGCGUUCCAUUAGGUUGUUGGUGAGGUAACGGCUCACCAAGCCUUCGAUGGAUAGGGGUUCUGAGAGGAAGGUCCCCCACAUUGGAACUGAGACACGGUCCAAACUCCUACGGGAGGCAGCAGUGAGGAAUAUUGGUCAAUGGGCGCUAGCCUGAACCAGCCAAGUAGCGUGAAGGAUGAAGGCUCUAUGGGUCGUAAACUUCUUUUAUAUAAGAAUAAAGUGCAGUAUGUAUACUGUUUUGUAUGUAUUAUAUGAAUAAGGAUCGGCUAACUCCGUGCCAGCAGCCGCGGUAAUACGGAGGAUCCGAGCGUUAUCCGGAUUUAUUGGGUUUAAAGGGAGCGUAGGUGGACUGGUAAGUCAGUUGUGAAAGUUUGCGGCUCAACCGUAAAAUUGCAGUUGAAACUGGCAGUCUUGAGUACAGUAGAGGUGGGCGGAAUUCGUGGUGUAGCGGUGAAAUGCUUAGAUAUCACGAAGAACUCCGAUUGCGAAGGCAGCUCACUAGACUGCAACUGACACUGAUGCUCGAAAGUGUGGGUAUCANACAGG